rnacentral:rRNA from 1 species
UACGUAGGGGGCAAGCGUUGUCCGGAAUUACUGGGCGUAAAGGGUGCGUAGGCGGCCUAAUAAGUCAGAUGUGAAAUACCGAGGCUCAACCUCGGAGGUGCAUUUGAAACUGUUGGGCUUGAGUGCAGGAGAGGAAAGUGGAAUUCCUAGUGUAGCGGUGAAAUGCGUAGAGAUUAGGAGGAACACCAGUGGCGAAGGCGACUUUCUGGACUGUAACUGACGCUGAGGCACGAAAGCGUGGGGAGGCAAACAGGAUUAGAUACCCUGGUAGU